AAGUCGUAACAAGGUUUCCGUAGGUGAACCUGCGGAAGGAUCAUUAUAAAAUUUUCAUAUAUUAAUUUAUUUAAUAUAUAAAAUUAUACAAAAAUGUAUUCAAAACCCACACUCUUUAUUAACCAUAAAAAAACAUUAUAUCUUUGUAUAUAAUAUAAAAAACAACUUUCAACAACGGAUCUCUUGGCUCUC
rnacentral:misc_RNA from 1 species